UGGUGCCGUUUUAUUUUGUAUGUCCAUGGCCUACAGUAAGGGAUACGGUCUAUUGACUUAAGGUUGUAUUUCUUAGCGGCAGUACGUUUGUUCCGAGCGGAAGUAAAGCUGGGUAUCUGCAGUAAAAGUCAACGGAGGGAGGCGAGCGGCGGACCGAAGCGGCGGUUAUCGCUUAGGUCUCCCUUUCAGGUUUGGAUCCGGCAGCCUGGAAGCAGCCGCAGGCAGAGAGCGUGGGGACGCCCACGGCGCCGAGACGUCGUUUUCCGUCCAGGCCGGAGUUUGUGGGCUCAUCUUCCGAAAGCUAAGUGUCGGGGACGGGGGUGAGGAGAAGAGGAAAAAGGUUUUCAGUGGCAGGAGGCAAUUCAAAGCUAGCUUAGGGCAGAGGGCCCUAGAGGGCCAGAGGCCCGGUAAGUAAAGGUAGAGGAUUCAUCCCGGGCAUCAGCAGAGCUUUUGCCGGGCAGGGCAUUAGCGUCCCCCAUCCGCGUUUUAGGGAGCCGGGCAUCGUAUGCCUGGUUGGAGUCCACAGGGUUAGGGCGCAGCAGGGAGCGGGCAGCCCACACCGGGAUCCCCGUGCCAGGAGCGUCUGCAGUUGUGAGGAGUAGAGUGGAGCAGGAGCACUUGAGAGAGACCCAGUGAGGCUGAGGGAGGGCUUGAGAGGUGAGGGAGUGUCAGGCCAGAGGGCUUGAGAGGUGAGGGAGUGUCAGGCCAGAGAGCAGGAGGUGAAAGUAAGGCGUAGAGGCUAGGAUGCAAAUUUGAGCACAGUUGUAAGAGCCCUGAGAACUGUCCUGUUUCCCCGAGAGCAGGUGCAGGCAGCCAGGCUGUGGCAGGCCAGCGGCAGAAGAGCCAGGAGGGGCAGGCAGGAAGCGUUAGUGGGGAGCAGGGUCCGCAGGGCCGGGUCUAACCGGGGGUUUCCCGCCCCGGCCCACCCUGGGAUCUCCUGUCUCCCCGCAGUCGAGGAUGUCUCCUCCCAUUCCUCGAGGCGGCGGUUGGUAAGGCUUCGUGCCUUUGCCACCGCCAAGAGCGCGGCUCUGUCAGCCUCUGCCCUGUCUCAGGGCCAAAGUUAGUUAGGCUAGGGAGAAACUGUGGAUGACUCGUCCUGCCCGCAGGACAACCUUUGGGACCCUGGAUCAGGAGCAUCCUCGACUGCUAGCAUAGGGCCUUAGAGAAGUAGGGUGAAGCAGGGCACUUGAGAGAGACCCAGCGAGGCUGAGGGAGGGCUCGAGAGGUGAAGGAGCGUCAGGCCAGAGAGCAGGCCAUGAAUGUAAGGUGUAGAGGCUAGGAUGCAAGUUUGAGUGCAGGUGUAUGAGCCCUGAGAACAGUCCUGUUUCCCUGAGAGCAGGUGCAGGCAGCCAGGCUGUGUCAGGGCAGUGGCAGAAGCGCUGAGGGGGCAGGCAGUAGGGCUAGGGCUAGGCAGGAAAUGAGGAGGGGGGGCAGAGUCGACUGGGUUGGGGUUGAGCGUGGGAUGCCCACCCUGGUAUCUCUGUCCUGCUGCAAUCAGGGAUGUCACAGCCCUAGUGGAGGCCAGGGUGGGUGAGUGGGCUUAGCAUCCAUCAUGCCACCAAGACUUUGUCCGUGCAGGUGUCAGGCUGUGAGCGAAGCCAAAGCAAGCCGCCCAAGACUCUGGGCAUUGUUAAGAGAGGGGGAGCCCCAGGAUCAGUGUUUUUUGGCUGAUGUGCUGCCAUGUGCAUGCUUUAAUGUUUGGUUUUCUUUUUUAUAGCUGAGGAAGAGACACCAGGCUGGUGACAGCAGGACUUUCCCAGAGGGCGAGGCGGGAUUCCUUGGCACCGGAUGUGGAUGGCGAUCCCUGGACCUCCCAGAGCUAAGUGGAGGGCUCAAGCUGCAGAGGGCAUGAGAGCAGGGUGCUGGGUUGGGAGUUGCUGGGGGGGGAGGAUUAUUGAGUCUGGUGUGGCUAGGGAGAUGUGCAUCAUGUGAGCGCUUAGGGCACCUGAAGGGCAAGUGUCAUUUUUGCUGGCCAUGCUGAGCUGUGGAGGGCAGAGCAGUCCCGGGCACGUGGUGUCUGUCGUGUGUCGCGCACUCUGCGUGUGUCGGGCAUCUCAUCUUUCACGUCUUUACCCAUAGCCCCCCAGGGGUCCUAUGGGGAGCCCCGGCAUCACUGUUAGCAUUUCUGCUGUCUGCCUUCGUGGCCCCAGCAGCUUUGACGGGAGAGCUGGGACUUGGAUCUGAAUCUUGUGUCCCUUUAGACUCAUCCAGUGCGAUGUCUUUUGAGGUCUUGUUCUGACCUGUACAGAGAGCCGUGCCCCGCCACGAUCCAUUUUGGCGGGUUAGCACUUGUUUAGAAGUCCAAGCUAGGUCUGGGCUUGUGACCGCAGGAGUGUCAGGCAUCCAUCUUUGUGAUUCUUGAAAUGAUUCAUCUUGUUAGCAUCCUCUUUCUGCAGGGUUCUGUGAGCCUGGCCAGCUCACCUUAUUCCUUCCGUUUGUCAUCUCAUUCUGAGUUCUCUUCUUGCGGAGAGCUUUUUGUUGUUGUGGUGUCCCCUGGUUCGUGGUGUCCUGUGUGAUGGAUGUUGUGGUGUCUUUGUCCCGGAGCUGCUCUGCCCUGCCGCAUGGGUGGGUGUAGGGGUAAUAGAAGAAGCCCCUGGGGCCUGAACUGGGUGAUGUCAGGUGGAGUUGUGGUGUGGAGGGCAUUCAUAGGUUGGCAGCACGUGUCUGUCGCCGUCAAGUUCCCGUGCCGCAGUGUGACUUUGUUCCUGUGUGUGUUUCAGAUGCGGAUGGAUUCACUUGAUGGCAGAGGGCCCCAUCCCAGGUGAGGGGGUGUCCCCAGAAGAGGAACUGAAGCGGGAUGUCAUCUGUCAAGGUGAAGCGGAGCAGGAGAUGUCACUUUCCACGGAGCUGCCCUCAGCAAGCAGAGGAUGGAUGCGGUUUGCCUGUCUCCUGAGACCCGUGGGGAGCAGAAGAGGAGUGUGUGAUGAAGCCUUGCUAUUUUCCAUUUGAAGGUGCCAUCCAGCCAGGUCCACCCCGUGACGACGGCAGGGGGCUCGGAGCGCGGCCGAGGCGUGCGGGGCGAGGACGUAGGUAUUCUUAGGAGACGCUGAGGAAGAGACACCAGCCCAGUGGGAGCUGAGGUCCACCCCGUGACGACGGCAGGGGGCUCGGAGCGCGGCCGAGGCGUGCGGGGCGAGGACGUAGGUAUUCUUAGGCGACGCUGAGGAAGAGACACCAGCCCAGUGGGAGCUGAGCCAGGUCCACCCCAUGAUGACGGCAGGGGGCUCGGAGCGCGGCCGAGGCGUGCGGGGCGAGGACGUAGGUAUUCUUAGGAGACGGUGAGUGUCCUAAUGGUGAGGUUUUGGUCCAUGUGCUGCCACGUGCAUGCUUUGAUGUUUGGUUUUGUUUGUUGUAGCUGAGGAAGAGACACCAGCCCAGUGGGAGCUGAGGUCCACCCCAUGAUGACGGCAGGGGGCUCGGAGCGCGGCCGAGGCGUGCGGGGCGAGGACGUAGGUAUUCUUAGGAGACGCUGAGGAAGAGACACCAGGCCGGUGGUGGCAGGACUUUCCCAGAGGGCGAGGCGGUGUUCCUUGGCACUGAUGCGGAUGGUGAUCACCGGACCUCCCAGAGCUAAGUGGAGGGCUCGAGGCACAGAGGGGAUGAGAGCAGGGUGCUGGGUUGGGAGUUGCUGGGGGGGAUUGAGUUCAGUAUGGAUCUGGAGAUGUGCAGGAUGUGAGUGCUUAGGGCACAUGAAAGGCAAGUGUCAUUUCUGAUUGUAAUGCUGAGACGGGCAGAGCAGUCCCGGGCACGUGGUGUCUGUUGUCCACUCUGUGUGUGUCAGGCAUCUCAUCUUUCACGUCUUUUCCCAUAGGUCCUCAAGGGGCCUGUGGGGAACCCUGGGAUCACUGUUAGCAUUUCUGAUGUCUGCCUUCCUGGCUCCAGUGGCUUUGACUGGAGAGCUGGGACUUAGAUCUGAACCUCAUCUCUGUUCAGAGUCAUCCAGUGCGAUGUCUUUUGUGGUCUUGUUCUGAGCUGUACAGACAGCCGUGCCCCGCCACGAUCCAUUUUGGCGGAUUAGGACUUGUUUAGAAGUCCAAGCUAGGUCUUGGCUUGUGAGCGGAGGAGCGUCGGGCAUCCAUCUUUGUGAUUCUUGAAGUGAUUCAUCUUGUUAGCAUCCUCUUCUUGUAGGGUUCUGUGAGCCUGGCCAGCUCACCUUGUUUCUUCCGUUUGUCAUCUCAUUCUGCGUUCUCUCGGUCCUCCCGGUCGUUCUUCUUGCGGAGAGCUUUUUGUUGUUGUGGCGUCCCCUGGUUUGUGGUGUCCGAUGUGACGGGUGUUGGUGUGGCUUUGUCCCGGAGCUGCUCUGUCCUGCCGCAUGGGUGGGUGUAGGGGUAAUAGAAGAAGCCCCUGGGGCCUGAACUGGGUGAUGUCAGGUGGAGUUGUGGUGUGGAGGGCAUUCAUAGGUUGGCAGCACGUGUCUGUCGCUGUCAAGUUCCCGUGCCGCAGUGUGACUUUGUUCCUGUGUGUGUUUCAGAUGCGGAUGCAUUCACUUGAUUGCAGAGGGCCCCAUCCCAGGUGAGGGGGUGUCCCCAGAAGAGGAACUGAAGCGGGAUGUCAUCUGUCAAGGUGAAGCGGAGCAGGAGAUGUCACUUUCCACGGAGCUGCCCUCAGCAAGCAGAGGAUGGAUGCGGUUUGCCUGUCUCCUGAGACCUGUGGGGAGCAGAAGAGGAGUGUGUGAUGAAGCCUUGCUAUUUUCCAUUUGAAGGUGCCAUCCAGGUCUACCCCAUGAUGACGGCAGGGGGCUCGGAGCGCGGCCGAGGCGUGCGGGGCGAGGACGUAGGUAUUCUUAGGAGACGCUGAGGAAGAGACACCAGGCCGGUGGUGGCAGGACUUUCCCAGAGGGCGAGGCGGUGUUCCUUGGCACUGAUGCGGAUGGUGAUCACCGGACCUCCCAGAGCUAAGUGGAGGGCUCGAGGCACAGAGGGGAUGAGAGCAGGGUGCUGGGUUGGGAGUUGCUGGGGGGGAUUGAGUUCAGUAUGGAUCUGGAGAUGUGCAGGAUGUGAGUGCUUAGGGCACAUGAAAGGCAAGUGUCAUUUCUGAUUGUAAUGCUGAGACAGGCAGGGCAGAGCAGUCCCGGGCACGUGGUGUCUGUUGUCCACUCUGUGUGUGUCAGGCAUCUCAUCUUUCACGUCUUUUCCCAUAGGUCCUCAAGGGGCCUGUGGGGAACCCUGGGAUCACUGUUAGCAUUUCUGAUGUCUGCCUUCCUGGCUCCAGUGGCUUUGACUGGAGAGCUGGGACUUAGAUCUGAACCUCAUCUCUGUUCAGAGUCAUCCAGUGCGAUGUCUUUUGUGGUCUUGUUCUGAGCUGUACAGACAGCCGUGCCCCGCCACGAUCCAUUUUGACGGAUUAGGACUUGUUUAGAAGUCCAAGCUAGGUCUUGGCUUGUGAGCGGAGGAGCGUCGGGCAUCCAUCUUUGUGAUUCUUGAAGUGAUUCAUCUUGUUAGCAUCCUCUUCUUGUAGGGUUCUGUGAGCCUGGCCAGCUCACCUUGUUUCUUCCGUUUGUCAUCUCAUUCUGCGUUCUCUCGGUCCUCCCGGUCGUUCUUCUUGCGGAGAGCUUUUUGUUGUUGUGGCGUCCCCUGGUUUGUGGUGUCCGAUGUGACGGGUGUUGGUGUGGCUUUGUCCCGGAGCUGCUCUGUCCUGCCGCAUGGGUGGGUGUAGGGGUAAUAGAAGAAGCCCCUGGGGCCUGAACUGGGUGAUGUCAGGUGGAGUUGUGGUGUGGAGGGCAUUCGUCGGUUGGCAGCACGUGUCUGUCGCUGUCAAAUUCCCGUGCUGCAGCGUGACUAUUUUCCUGACUUUGUUUCAGAUGCAGAUGGAUUCAAUCCGUGGCAGAGUGCCUCAUCCUGGGUGAGGGGGUUCCUCUGUGAAGGUGUAAGUCACUGUCUUAGCUGGGGUAGUGUAAAUAAUGACUGUGUAAGAGUUCUUUUUUUCUCUUUACUUUCAGGAAGUGAUGGUAGAUGUCAGCUCUCAAGGUGAAGUGGAGCAGGUGAACUGUGAUUGUUGGAGAGAAGCAGUUGCUAUUGCUGAAGUCUUACUUGAUCAUGCAUGUCUAAGCAUCCCCUUUUGUGUUUUAUGGGGUCUGCUUGCAUGACACCAUUCUGUCACAAACCAGGUGCUGGUUUCUGUUUGGAAUUUUAGCUGGCUGCCAUCCCUUUGCUGGCCCAUGGCCUUAGACAGAAGCAGUGUCCCUUCUCCAUGGGCAUGCCGAUUCACCCUCCCCUGUUCCUGAUGUGAUUUUGUAGGAGGCAUUUGGUACUCCAAGUUAGACAUGUAAGUGUUGUCUCUGCCAGCUUUUGCCAGCCCUGUAAGCCUGCUUCCCUUCCCUUUCUGCAGCAUGUGUCUGUCCUGGUCUUAGAAUUUGUGCAUGCUUUGCAACGGAAUGUUUCAUUUAGCAUCAAUCAUGGACAUUGCUGAGCAAUUGUGUCUGUGUCUUCUUUCAUUCAUGAACUCUUCACCACUCGAUGGGGACUCUCCCAGACAUUUUAUGAUUGAAAUCCGUUCACCCGUGAGUGAAGAACACAAAGGGCAAGAGGUUUUCUGCCUGUCCUGUUUUUUUUAAGGUGUAGGUGAAAUCUAAGCUCCAGUACCCUCUGCCGUGCAGCUCCUUUGGCCUAUCCCACGGUCCAUGAAGUAAGCACGUAUAAAAGCUGGGCCAAGUUUCCCUGCACAGUUUUAGUUUGUCUGUUGCAGCCCUGAGCAGGUGUCUAAAAUAAGUAAAAACCCCCUGGUGCCUCCGUCUCCCCCCUAGGCAGGGAUGCAGGGGCAGCAGCACCCCUGAAACGAUGUCCCAAACAGAGAGCCUUCCCAGGCCCUUGGAGAAGAGCUGAAGGGGUAAGAAGAGAGGGCAGGAAAGCCUUGGUACCUUCCGUGAGAGCGCCUGUGUCCCUGUGCCCUGCAAAAGCAGCAAGGGCCAGCAUCCCUGUGAUUUUGAGAUGAGGCCAAGGGAAACGUGCGGCACCGUGGGUUCUUUGUGUAGUCGGUCGUUUUCCCGUUUCCCCAUUGGUCCCUUUUGGAUCCUUGCUCCGAUUGGUCGUUUUGAAAUUCAUUCACCCCAUUGGUGUGAGUGUCAAAGCCACCUCGUUCCCUGUGAAAGGGGGUUGUGGGAGGUCAGUUGGGCGUGGGUUCCAGAGCGUGCGCCGCCUGAAGAGACCUCGCCGUGAGGAAGCAGCCGAGCCGAGCCGAUGGAGCAGCCGUGCCUGUAGGCGCUCGGACAGCCUCGUGGCUGAGUUGCCGCGGCAGCUCUCCUAAAAGAGCGAUCACUAGGGUGAUCGGUGUCCCUCCGGAGCAGAGGGCGCCUUUAUCAAGGCGACCGGCUGCUGCAUGGUCGCAGCACUCGAAGAGGCUCCGCAGCCGGGCUGGAGCGGGGAGCGGGCGCGGCCCGUAGGACCAGAACUUUGUGUGAGGCAGCAGCAGCAUCGCGGGAGAGUGAACAGAGGAUGCAAGAGGAGCCAAGUGUGCUUUGAGAGUUUCCUUCUGUUUUGUGUCCCAAGCUUUUUUCCUAUUCCUUUAGGAGGUGUUAAUAAAAUUAUUCUUUUUCCACACGGACCUUCCCUUCACGCUCGCCCCCCAACCUCUGGAGACGCCUCACGCACACAGUCACCUUCUGCUGCCCCUGAUUCCCGGCCGCCACACCCGCGGGAGCACGGAACCGCAAUACUACAGAGUCCCCUCUUGCUUCUGGCAUCCAGCUGUGCUGGUCCCGGUCUCAGACACACACACAUUCGCUCGUCUCCACGCCUGCCACUGCACACUCACCAGUGCUCCUCCGGUGUGCUGUCCUCUGCUCCGGGCGUGUCUUCUGCCCCCGAGUCCCCAGCUGGACCAGGUGGGCAAGGAGAGAAUCUCCUUUAGAAGCGCCUUUAAUAUCAGCUCUUUUUGUGAGGGGGGGCCUCGGGGGACUCACUGCUGCCGCCGCUGCUGCCGCCGCCUCUGCGUCCCUCGUGGUUCCUCUUCUGGGGGCGGCUCACCUCUCACGAGUCCCCAGCUCCAAGUA